GACGAACGCUGGCGGCGUGCUUAACACAUGCAAGUCGAACGGAAAGGCCCUGCUUUUGUGGGGUGCUCGAGUGGCGAACGGGUGAGUAACACGUGAGUAACCUGCCCCUGACUUUGGGAUAACUUCAGGAAACUGGGGCUAAUACCGGAUAGGAGCUCCUGCUGCAUGGUGGGGGUUGGAAAGUUUCGGCGGUUGGGGAUGGACUCGCGGCUUAUCAGCUUGUUGGUGGGGUAGUGGCUUACCAAGGCUUUGACGGGUAGCCGGCCUGAGAGGGUGACCGGCCACAUUGGGACUGAGAUACGGCCCAGAAUCCUACGGGAGGCAGCAGUGGGGAAUAUUGCACAAUGGGCGGAAGCCUGAUGCAACAACGCCGCGUGCGGGAUGACGGCCUUCGGGUUGUAAACCGCUUUCGCCUGUGACGAAGCGUGAGUGACGGUAAUGGGUAAAGAAGCACCGGCUAACUACGUG
rnacentral:rRNA from 1 species